rnacentral:rRNA from 1 species
CGCGUAGGCGGACAGUAUAGUCAGGCGUGAAAUUCCUGGGCUCAACCUGGGGGCUGCGCUUGAUACGUGCUGUCUUGAGUGGGGAAGAGGGUCGUGGAAUUCCCAGUGUAGAGGUGAAAUUCGUAGAUAUUGGGAAGGACACCGGUGGCGAAGGCGGCGACCUGGUCCUUGACUGACGCUGAGGCGCGAAAGCGUGGGGAGCAAACAGGAUUAGAUACCCUGGUAGUCCACGCCGUAAACGAUGUGCGCUGGAUGUUGGGCGGCCUAGCCGUUCAGUGUCGUAGCUAACGCGAUAAGCGCACCGCCUGGGGAGUACGGCCGCAAGGUUGAA